CUCGUUUCAGGUAAUAUCUCUUUGCAGUCAAUUACGAAAUAUCAAGCACUUCAAUCAGGUAUGUUCACCACUGAUAUUAUCGUCUGGUCAAGAUUUUCAAAGAAAUUGGUAUGUUCAAUGAAUUGACCGAUGUGGAAUGCAUUCUCUGAAUGGUAUGUGGAUUUAUCAAUAAUUUCCAUGUUAGUGAAUAUCGCUCUGAUUACUCAUUUCAAAAUAUCUUUUCAGUUGUAGAAAAGCUAGUUAAGAGAUAGAUGUCAGUUGGCUGACACUACAACUUUGACACAGUCGACAGGCAAGAUUUUUUGAACCCCCUUUUUUCGUUAUCCCAAUCCUGUCUCCUCCAUUUCUUCAAUUUCAUUCCU